rnacentral:rRNA from 1 species
GAUGAACGCUGGCGGCGUGCCUAAUACAUGCAAGUCGAGCGAACAGACGAGGAGCUUGCUCCUCUGACGUUAGCGGCGGACGGGUGGGUAACACGUGGAUAACCUACCUAUAAGACUGGGAUAACUUCGGGAAACCGGAGCUAAUACCGGAUAAUAUAUUGAACCGCAUGGUUCAAUAGUGAAAGACGGUUUUGCUGUCACUUAUAGAUGGAUCCGCGCCGCAUUAGCUAGUUGGUAAGGUAACGGCUUACCAAGGCAACGAUGCGUAGCCGACCUGAGAGCGUGAGCGGCCACACUGGAACAGAGACACGGUCCAGACUACUACGGGAGGAAGCAUGAGGGAAUCUUGCAGAAUGGUCUAAAGCCUGAAAGAGCCACUCCGCGUGAAAGAUGAAGGUCUUCGGACCUUAAAACUCUGUUAUUAGUGAAUAACAAAAGGGCAACUAACUAUGCGCGUCUAGACGCGGCCGAAGCAGAUAGCCGCGCCUCCCCACGUC